AACUGUGCAAAGGUAGCAUAAUCAAUAGCCUUUUAACUGGGGGCCCGUAUGAAUGGUUGAACAAGGAGUUAACUGUCUUAGUUAUAAACAUUAAACUUAACUUCUAAGUGAAAAGGCUUAGAUAUUCUAGGGGGACGACAAGACCCUAUAAAACUUAACAUCAAAAAAAUAAAUUUAAAAUUAUUUGUAAAUAUUCACCUAUUUUAAAUUAUGUUCCAUUGGGGCGAUGGGGGCAAAAUAACCAACUGCCCGACCUUAAAACAAAUAUAGUUGAAUAAAUUGACCCUUAAUAAAGAAUAAAAGAAAAAGUUACUUUAGGGAUAACAGCGUUAUUUUUUUUUAGAGUUCUUAUCGACAAAAAAGUUUGCGACCUCGAUGUUGAAUUAAAACCCUCCCUAGUGUAGCAGUUAUGGUAGAAGGUCUGUUCGACCUU
rnacentral:rRNA from 1 species